rnacentral:rRNA from 1 species
AAUGAACGCUGGCGGCAGGCCUAACACAUGCAAGUCGAGCGAGCGGCGGACGGGUGAGUAAUGUAUGGGGACUGCCCGAUAGAGGGGGAUAACUACUGGAAACGGUGGCUAAUACCGCAUACUAUCGGAUAACCCAUAUGGGAUUAGCUGGUAGGGGGGGUAAAGGCUCACCUAGGCGACGAUCUCUAGCUGGUCUGAGAGGAUGAUCAGCACAACUGGCACUGUGACACGGCCCAGACUCCUACGGGGGCGGCAGUGGGGAAUAUUGGAAAAUGAGCGCAGGCCUGAUGCGCCCAUGCCGCGUGUAGGAAGAAGGCCUUAGGGUUGUAAAGUACUUUCAGCGGGAAGGCGUUACCCGCAGAAGAAGCACCGGCUAACUCCGUGCCAGCAGCCGCGGUAAUUC